CUUCUGCCCACUGCGGUGCCCCUCUGAGCGAGGAAGCCAAUGGCAUAGGGAUACUGGACAGUUCCUGCGUGCCUUUCUCCACGCACAAAGCCGACAUCCAACUUUGCUCACUUAGUUGGCUCCCGCCCAGCCGGCCCCCGAAGCACAGUCACGGUGAAAACAUUUUGAUACCAGAAAAUCAUUUCCACGGAAGUGCAAGUGUUCGAAAGCACAAAGGCAGAUACCAUCGACCCGCGCUAGCUAGCAAGUUGCGGUACUCGGGGCGGCGGCGCGGAGCACGCGUCCAGGCUUUCUUUCCCCUUAUCUUCCUCUCUGCCGGCCCCAACCACUGCAUCAAGACUCUGCUCAUUCUUCAAGUCAUCCAGUGCCCAUGGGACUGGCUCUUGAACCCACAUGGAGUAGGAUGCCCUGGGGAACAUCAACAUUCAAGGGGUGGUGUGAGAAGGAACCCCAAAGACAGAGCCCAUGGAUUCAGAGAAGUCAGAAGAGUCCCGAGUGAAGAUGGUGUCCUGAAGCCCCCAGGUGAAGACGAUUCUAAGGAACAUGUGGUCGAGAGAGGAAACGAAAGAUGCUGAAAACUGCCCAUGGAUUGGGUUCUCCGUCAUCGGUGUGCGUCAUGAAAGCAGUUUUGGUGAGGUCGUGGGAGCAUAGGGCCUCCACCACCAUCUUUCUCCACGGCCUCUGCAUACACUCCGGGCAGCUACAUUUGUCUAGAAGUGUGGAGCCAGAUGAUCACCAAAAAAUACUCUUGUCAUCAAGGCCUUAUAGGUAUCUGUGGGGUUCUGUCCACCUGGUACAGAGUUGGCAAGUUAAAGAAGCAAAGGAAACCACACAGUGAUCGCUCAGAUCUCCUAUGUUCCCUUUCAAACCUCUGAGGAAGGCAUCUGGGUGAACCUUUGCAGGAAAAGGAAAAUCCAAACCCAGUAAAGAACUUGUUCUGGACUUGUUCCCUUUCAACCCUCCCUGGUGAUUUCAGGGGAAGUUCUCUGGAGCACACAAUUCCAUAAUCGUCGACAUUUCCAGGAUAUGAAGAUUCUGCUGCUCCGUUCUGAGCAAAGAGUUUAACAAGUCAAAUACAAAUCUCAGGGGACUUCAUAAGCCUCGUGAUGGUGCCAUGCAAAUUCAUCAAGGAAGGUGGCAUUUCUGGGAUAAAGGAAGAAGUAUAUGUUUUGAAAGUCAGCAAUUUGGGUGGCUUUAUCUCUACAACUCGGAAGACAUUUGCAGAACGUUUGGUAAUUAAAUACGCCCUCAGCUGAGAAAUAAUGCUCUGAGUUGUCCUGCAGCUUGUGGAAUCUUAGUUCCCCGACCAGGGAUUGAAUCCGGGCCACCAUAGUGAAAGAACAGAGUCCUAACCACUGGACCGCCAGGGAAUUCCUAGGAAUUUUCUUUAUACUUGAAAAGAAUCCCUACGACAUCAGGCACAGCAUAUGAUAUUUUAUACUGUUGGAGGGAAAUGCUAUGAAAAAACCAAGUUUCGCUCAGUUUGGAUGGAAAACUUUGCCUACUUUUCAGAAGCUCUCGCAAAUUAUUUACAGGCUUAAACCUGAUCCCUCAAGAGGAGCCUCAGUCCCUAACAAAAGUGCUGUCGAAUUCACAAGUGGUGCACAUGAAAAGGAGAAGCAGUGGACAGCUGGGACACUCGCUGCUGCUGAGGAAAUAUUGGGGGAUUCCCGAGGUGCACAGAAAACUGCUGAAAACUGCUUACUUCCUGCCCAAACCUGGGGCCUGUGAGACCUCUCCCAGAGUUCCUUCUGGGAGGAGACAGAGAGAGAAAGACUGUGUAGGAAUUCCAGAGGGAAGCCAUCCCAGAUAACUGCUACAGCUAGUAUUCUCCCAGAGACUCCGUGUUGCAAGACAGCAAAUUUACCUAGAAAUUCAUGUGAUGAAAACUUUGCACAGGAAAUGAGAACGUUGGGCCCCUGAAGACAGAGGGGCUAAUAAUUCUCUAGUAUUUAGUGUAAAUUUUUUCAUAAAAGAGAUAUAACAGAGCAGGAUACAGAAACGGCUCAGCAGGUGAAAUAGACUUCAGAUGAUGAAAUGAGAAUAGAAUACAGGGAAAGGCAAAAAAGACCUCACUUAGGGUUUCUACAGUUCCCUCACUGAGCACCACUGAAUACCAGUAACAAUAAUGAUAAUGACAACUUUCUAGUGGCCUAAUCCGGUGGAGAAAGUAAUAGUCACAGUCACAGAAUGGUAUCUUCAUUCCUGCUUAGAGAUGUUAUACUAUAUAUUUUCAAGUGUGUUAGAUCAUUUAAUCAUCAUAUCAAGCCUGUGAAUUUGGUUUUAUUUUCAGUCUCAUUAUCCUGCGAAUAUCUUGGGAAGUGUUUAUAUCUUAAGUUAUGAAAAACACCCGUUGAAUCCCACAUUGUGUGUGAAAUAUGUCUCCAUAACAGAGAUUUGUUUUUUGCCCAGUUUCCACUUACUAUUUUUAAGGUAAAAUGAUAAUCCAAAUUCCCUUUGGGAAACCACGCAUUCUCAGGCCACAUGGUUUAAAAGGUAUCAUAUCCAACCCUAGCAGCAGGGCUGGGUGCUGAUUGGCCUAAGGAGAUCAGCAUGCUACUUUCUCCUUGGUUACAGAGGUGGGUUCACCCACGGGCUGUGUGACCCAAUCAGAGCUAUGUACAAUGAGACUGCUGUUCUUUCCCAAGGGACCUGAACCUGGAAACACGUGGACUGGUGCUACUGUUACCACCUUGCUAACAUAUGUAGACCCAGAGUUAGGCCAUUGAGUGGAAGAAUGCAGAGCCCAGUUGAGAGAUGGGCAAAAAUGGGUCUCGAUGACAACAAUGGAGCCUAAAUCAAACCAUUCUGGAAGAGAAUCCCAUUCUGGACUUUUUAAUUAAGUGAGCCCAUAAAUUCUCUUAUGGCUUAAGCCAAUUUUGGUGGAUUGUUUUCUCCUGUUCAACAGAAGAGCAGCCUAAUUGGGGAAGGAUCUCUUUCUACCAUUCUGUGCCAGGGGAGUUAUAGAUAGAGCUUGUCCAUUAAGAGGUUAUUAUGCAAAACAAGGACAAAAAUGGAAAACUGGCACAUUAUGGGCAAUUUUAUACUUUGAGAACAUUUAAAGACGAUCUCCCCAACAUAGAGCACAUUCUGGAGAGUUGCUAGUUAGCUAUUCUGACAUUUGUUCUUCCCUCUUAAACUCCUGAUUGUAACUGGUCAUAUGACUAACUUUUAAAAAAGACUGGCAGAUGCCUUUGUGAUUCAAUGUGGCCGUGGGACUAAACUCUAGCCAAUGGGAUUUAAUUUAGGCAGCUCCUCCAGGUAAUUUUCUUAAAAGAUAGCUGGCAUGUACCCUUUGCCUUUUUUUCUUUCUUCAUCCUGCUGCCUGAAAUGUGGAUGUGAUAGCUGGAAAUCUAACUACCAUCUUGUACUGUGAGGCCGGGGCUCAAAUGGCAGAGCUAUGAGCUGAAAGGAGCCUUGGUCCCUAAGGACUUCAGGGAGCAAGCCAUUUAACAGACGUCGUUAGCCUACACCUGAAUUUUUACUUGAGAAAGAAAUAAAGCUCUAUCUUCUUUAAGUCACCGUUAGUGUCAAGCUUUCUCCUAUUAUUUCUUUUUUAAAAAAAUUUAUUUAUUUAUUAUUUAUUUUUGACUAUGUUGGGUCUUCGUUGCUGUGCGCGGGCUUUCUCUAGUUGCGGCGAGCGGGGGCUACUCUUUGUUGUGGUGCAUGGGCUUCUCGUUGCAGUGGCUUCUCUUGUUGCUGAGCACAGG